rnacentral:tRNA from 1 species
GGGGGCAUAGCUCAGUCGGUAGAGCACCGCCCUUUUAAGGCGGGCGUCGAUGGUUCGAAUCCAUCUGCCCUCA